ensembl:lncRNA
GGAAAAUGGCAGGCAUUGUGAGAGGCUCACAGAGAACUUUUAUCUCGCCCAUCUGUGUGGUCUCCGGCGUGAUGAUCCUGGAAUCCAGCCAUCUCAACCUUCAUGCCAUUUAAGAAAAAAGUUUCGUCUGCUGAGAAGGGGCUCCACAGCUGCGUCCGAUUGGGGCGAACAAUGAAAGACACGGGAGCACAAACGAAAGGAAGGAACAGCAGACACGUGAAAUGUGUGUGUGUGUGCGGAAGCACGGGGUGCCAAAGCGCAGGGCUCGGUUCGCUGACAAGAGGAUUAAUAUUUCUCGAAAACUGCCUUUCUGUGUGGCUGCGGAGCGCCGCUCUGUGGAGGUGACCCCACCCUAGAAUGUUCUCGGCCCCUCCAUCUGUCGGCGUGGUGACAAACGGAGCCCCC